AGUGAACGCUGGCGGUAGGCCUAACACAUGCAAGUCGAACGGCAGCACAGUAAGAGCUUGCUCUUACGGGUGGCGAGUGGCGGACGGGUGAGGAAUACAUCUGAAUCUACUUUUUCGUGGGGGAUAACGUAGGGAAACUUACGCUAAUACCGCAUACGACCUACGGGUGAAAGCAGGGGAUCUUCGUACCUUGCGCGAUUGAAUGAGCCGAUGUCGGAUUAGCUAGUUGGCGGGGUAAAGGCCCACCAAGGCGACGAUCCGUAGCUGGUCUGAGAGGAUGGUCAGCCACACUGGAACUGAGACACGGUCCAGACUCCUACGGGAGGCAGCAGUGGGGAAUAUUGGACAAUGGGCGCAAGCCUGAUCCAGCCAUACCGCGUGGGUGAAGAAGGCCUUCGGGUUGUAAAGCCCUUUUGUUGGGAAAGAAAAGCAGCAGGUUAAUACCCCGCUGUUCUGACGGUACCCAAAGAAUAAGCACCGGCUAACUUCGUG
rnacentral:rRNA from 1 species